CCUAGAAUGAGUAUGCUUCAGAAAAAAGAAAAACAAAACCUAGAGUGAAUUUGAUUCAUUUGAACCGAGAAUUGUAAUAGAUUCAAAAUUUCUCUGAUCUACUUCAUAUCAGUGAUGUUUCCUUAAUCCAAUUGAAUGAUUGAACUAUCACUAACCCAUUUUCCUUAAUCCAAUUGAAUGAUUGAACCGUCACUAACCCAAAAAAAAAACCCAACUUUUUCUGCCACACAAGAACAAACAUAUAAGUAUUUUUAACUUCUUAUUUCCUAGAUCUCCAUUAAAAUAGCUAUUCUUCUGAUCACUUUUUUUUAUUUUGAUUGGAGUUCAUAUCUCCUUCUACCGAGACGAUAAACGAUGUAACAAUGAGUGAUAUAUCUUGGAUCAGUAUUACCUACAGAUUACAGUUAGUAACUUAAAGGGCUAAGAAAUAAUUAAGAAUAUAUUAGAAGUAUCUAAUCUACGUAUUUUGAUGACUGGAAAAUCCAACGGCCCUAAGGUACGACCGUUUUUGUUCAGUUAUGCGAACGACCGUGUCAUAGCACCACUCAGGCACGAGAUGCAUCGCCCUAAUCUUUUCUAAGCCCUAAUCUUCGACCAACAACAUCAGAGCAGCUUUGCACCUGAGAUCCAAGGAACAUGAAGGAUAAGAAAAACAGGGCUGUUUAUAGGAAACCUGGCUUAUACAAUGACACAUAAAAACAAGUUUUAUGUCGCCUGAAGGCCUUCAGAAACUUGCUGAAGCAAUAAAGCAAUACAUUUGGACACGUUAAAAGAAAACCUGCAGGUGAUGUUCUGUUCCAGCUAGCGUAGAUGUUAACUAUGUGUAGGAAGAUAUUACCUAUUUUCUGACAUGCAUUGAACUCCUACUGGUAUAAAUCUAUAAACCAUAACUUUUGUGUUUUUCAUGUUUGUUCUGCUGGUUGUCAUGCAUAAGGUUAAAUCCCAGCGCGAUGCAUCCAUGAAAGUUUUUAAAUGGCAUGGCGGAUAUCCAGUUGCAAAGGUUAGUGAUAGUUGGAAAAGAUUUUGCUCUCGUGCUGCUAGAUCAAUUUUGAUCUAGCAGCACCGUGGCCAAUCAUUUGGCCCUUCCUGACAUCAGCAAACCGGGAUUUUAACCUCAGUUAACUUCCCCUAUUUUAGGUGAUAUUUUGCAGCCGUUUUUUUAGCUAACGUACCUUCAGUUUAGCAAACCAAGGAAAAUCUUCUCCUUUUAUACUGAUUUGGUAGAGAACAAAUCCAAAUUUAUACAUAUUUUCUUUGAUCUUAAUUAGAUCAAAAUUUUCUUCUUUUGCUUGCGAGAACUGAAGCAUGCGCAUACAGUAGUACAACACUUCUUAAAUUUUUUCUUUUUGCCAUGUGCCAAAUUUGCUCAUGUCCAAAAAAUGGACCUCCCUUCAGUGGAACUAAGUUAUUAUAGCCGUAUUGAGAAGUUUUUUAAGAAGAUGAAAAUAGUCCCGUGUGUUCUUCCUCUCCGUGUCUACUAAUUGUAAGAGACUAUGUUCAAAAAUGCACCACGAAUCCAGUGAAAUACUUCACUAUGUACACAGGUGUAAUAUAGACUCAGUGGUAAGAAACUGAGCAACUAAUUCAAAGAAAAGAAGAACAAAAAAGCAAUGGUUGGAACUAGAAAGGGUUACUUCUUCUACUUAUGAAUCAUUGUAUAUUACUUCUUCUAUGUCUGAAUGUAUAUGUAAAUUCAAAUUUAUGUCAGUCGUAUAAAAGGCUCUGAAGCAACAGAGGAGAAACCGAGAAACUAUUGCAUUUUAUAUACAGCUACGCAAAUAGCAUCCCAGUUCUAGUGGUUGAGGACACCAUGUCUGAAUUUGAGAAGCUGCACGAGAAGUUCCAUGUUCCAGUACCCGCGUACUUAUAAUAUGGGGAGCCUUUCAAAUACUGAUGUGCACUUCUUUUCUGAGUCGAGCUGAGCCGUAAGCUUGAUUUGGUACUCUUGUAUAUUUACGGAUUUGUCAACAUAUCUUGAAGCCAAGUUCGUUCAGGAGGAUGAUAAAUUUGUUGGUUAGAGUGGAAGAUUUUGAUGGUGCUUACAACAUGCUAAGUGAUAUGAAAGAAAUGGGCGUAAUGCAUCAACAACAGUUAGAUUUGGAGUCGUGAAGGUGAAAGGUCAAGAAUCUUAUCAGGGUCAGAAAAAAAACCUUCAAGGGGUCUCAUGGUUUAAAAUUUCUCUUAAUUCUUAUUAUAUUUUUUUUUCAUAAUUUUUCCUUCCUCAUGUUCUAUGAUUUCCAUUAAAUACGAACUUCUGUGUAGUUGACGAAUAUGAGCGACAUUUGUACCCGUCUGGUGAUAAUCAUUUCGAUGAGGUAAAUCACGCGUGGUAGUGGAGAUUUCAAGGUCCUAAUGUAUCGCUUACAAAAAAAAAGGAAAAUAUUGAACAAUCAGUUCUAGAAGAUACCUGAAAAUGGUGUUGACGUGCAUGUAAAAGGGUUUCUAUUGGAGAAGCAUACAUUCUUUUGUUACUUUUACACCAUUAUUUUGAUUUCGUCGAGAGGAAUCACUUAUUAAGGAGAUGUCGCUGGAGUUGGUGUUCCUUCUUCUUCUGAUUUUUUUUUAACAACAAUUGAUUUCGGUGUUCCAGUGCUUCAGGGUUGCCACAUUACAUCAAAACUUCAUAAUCCAAGUAUUUUUGAUGGUAGCCUAGCUACCAAGGUGAUUAGAAGGAGCGUAUCUGUGUAAGUAUGUCUUACACUACAUUGUUCGUACUAUCAAACCGUUUUACUGACUCUUUUGGUUUGCUCUAAAGCAUUUCAAUACAUUAUCUUACUUUUUUUAUUUUACUGAUAUAAGCAUUUUGGAACUUAUACCGUUUUCUGUUGUAUAAUGGUUCUGGGAUAGUGUUAAUAUUGUGUGUUGCUGAUCACUUUGCAACAUGCCCAGUUCCCAUUAUCUCCGAAUACGCAAUAAGUAUGCAUUUUUGACAUCCCUAUAUUUUUUUGUUUGGCUACUGCAAUUCAUGGAUUUGGUUGAUACAGGGAUGUGCCUCAAUGGUCAUCGUUCAGCUUUGUGAAUCUUAAAUUUGUAAGUAUUGCUGCUAGCUGUCCUAAAUUAAAAGAUGUAUCAUGGUUGAUCUAUUCUCAGAAUCUCGAAACACUUGAAUUGUGUAACAUAGAUAAAUUAGAUGAAAUAAUCUUACUGAUAGGUUUGCGGAGUAACGCAUGUUGAUUAAUAACGUAUUUUCAAGAUUAAAAUAUCUGAAAUUGAACGAGCCAAGGAAUCUAUAGAAGAUAUUUGAGAAAAGUUAAGAUUGAUUCAAGGUGCCAAGGAGGCAAAAAAAAAGUACAAACAAUAAUACACUCUACCAUCGAAGAGACUGGAGGUGCCAAAAACGAAAGUAAAGUGUUUGGGAAUCUAAAGAAAAUAUGUAAUCAUAAUGUGAAAUUCUUAAGUUUGGAGUCUAUUACAGUGAAGGCGUGUCCACAACCACAACUGAGGAAAAUAUGUAAUCAAAAUGUCAUUCCUAACACUUCACAAUGGAUUGAAGGACAUCGAUGAAACUACCGAAUCUAAUCUUUCUCCUUAUUUUGGUA